CGAGAAAUCCCGUCGGAAGCAGGGAGGACCAUCUCCCAAGGCUAAAUACUCCCUAGUGACCGAUAGUGAACCAGUACCGUGAGGGAAAGGUGAAAAGCACCCCGGAAGGGGAGUGAAAUAGAUCCUGAAACCGUGUGCCUACAAGUAGUUAGAGCCCAUUUAUGGGUGAUAGCGUGCCUUUUGUAGAAUGAACCGGCGAGUUACGAUUACAUGCGAGGUUAAGUUGAAGAGACGGAGCCGCAGCGAAAGCGAGUCUGAAUAGGGCGAAAUAGUAUGUGGUUGUAGACCCGAAACCAGGUGAUCUACCCAUGUCCAGGGUGAAGUCCAGGUAACACUGGAUGGAGGCCCGAACCCACGCACGUUGAAAAGUGCGGGGAUGAGGUGUGGGUAGCGGAGAAAUUCCAAUCGAACUU
rnacentral:rRNA from 2 species